rnacentral:rRNA from 1 species
CCUACGGGCGGCAGCAGUGAGGAAUAUUGGUCAAUGGGCGAGAGCCUGAACCAGCCAAGUCGCGUGAGGGAGUACUGCCCUAUGGGUUGUAAACCUCUUUUGUCGGGGAGCAAAAGCCGGACGUGUCCGGCUGUGAGAGUACCCGAAGAAAAAGCAUCGGCUAACUCCGUGCCAGCAGCCGCGGUAAUACGGAGGAUGCGAGCGUUAUCCGGAUUUAUUGGGGUUAAAGGGUGCGCAGGCGGAUUUUUAAGUCAGCGGUCAAAUCGUGGGGCUCAACCCCAUCCAGCCGUUGAAACUGGGGAUCUAGAGUGUGCGAGAGGUAGGCGGAAUGCGUGGUGUAGCGGUGAAAUGCAUAGAUAUCACGCAGAACCCCGAUUGCGAAGGCAGCAUACCGGUGCACAACUGACGCUCAGGCACGAAAGCGUGGGUAUCGAACAGGAUUAGAUACCCCAGUAGUC